rnacentral:rRNA from 1 species
AGUCGAGCGAACAGAUAAGGAGCUUGCUCCUUUGACGUUAGCGGCGGACGGGUGAGUAACACGUGGGUAACCUACCUAUAAGACUGGAAUAACUCCGGGAAACCGGGGCUAAUGCCGGAUAACAUUUAGAACCGCAUGGUUCUAAAGUGAAAGAUGGUUUUGCUAUCACUUAUAGAUGGACCCGCGCCGUAUUAGCUAGUUGGUAAGGUAACGGUUUACCAAGGCAACGAUACGUAGCCGACCUGAGAGGGUGAUCGGCCACACUGGAACUGAGACACGGUCCAGACUCCUACGGGAGGCAGCAGUAGGGAAUCUUCCGCAAUGGGCGAAAGCCUGCCGGAGCAACGCCGCGUGAGCGAUGAAGGUCUUCGGAUCGCAAAAUUCUGCUAUUAGGGAAGAACAAAUGUGCAAGUAACUAUGCCCCUCUUGAUGGCACCUAAUCAUAAUGCCACUGUUAACUACGUGCCUUCUUUCGCGGUAAUACUUAUGUGGAAAGCGUUACCCGGAAUUAUUGGGUGUAAAGCGCGCGUANCCCGCUUCUUAUCCCUUAUGUGAAAUUCCUCGGUUCAA